GCGUGAGUGAAGAAGGCCCUAGGGUUGUAAAGCUCUUUCGCCAGGGAAGAUAAUGACGGUACCUGGUAAAGAAGCCCCGGCUAACUUCGUGCCAGCAGCCGCGGUAAUACGAAGGGGGCUAGCGUUGUUCGGAAUUACUGGGCGUAAAGCGCACGUAGGCGGAUUGUUAAGUCAGAGGUGAAAUCCCGGGGCUCAACCCCGGAACUGCCUUUGAUACUGGCAAUCUAGAGUCCGGAAGAGGUGAGUGGAAUUCCGAGUGUAGAGGUGAAAUUCGU
rnacentral:rRNA from 1 species